GGGGAGAGAGCCUUCAGUAUGUGGGCCGCCCUCCUGUCAGAACAGUGUUUGUCGUCUCCUGCUAUCUUACGGAGGCUGUGAGGAUCUAGAGGAUACAGCUACGGAGAACAUGCUGGGUUCCUUGAGCUGCUAAGCACUGAAGUCCCACCAAUGGUGACGAAGGUCUAAGGAGAACAUUGCAAUUGCACAAAAUGAUCCUUGGAAAUUCUUUAGAAGGGCACCAUCUUGGAGACCCAGAAUCAAUAAAACCAGCAUGGCUGGGAGUUUUCUCCAGCAUUUGAAUAAAUUGUUGUUUCUUUGGUUGAACCAUGAUGAGAUAAUUGGCUUAAACCAGGAGUCAUGCAUGGUAUCUGGAAACUUCCUCACUUGAAUCACCAGCAUCAUACUCAGCAUGCAUAAUCCUCUCAUCAUGAGAGGCACAGGGGAAAUGAGCCAGCCUGUCUGGAAAGGAAGCAAAUGCAUGCUUUCCAUCUCCCACUCAGUACUGGACAUGAAGCUAUGUCAUCACCACUUAAUGCCAGCACCACUUAAAUGAUGUUUCUCUCUCUCUGCCCUGUACUUGCUGGAGGCACAUGCCCAUAUCACGUAGGGUGUCAGGGCAGAGAGCUCUUAGGAAGAGCUGAGCUGUGGGGACUUCCUCCCACGCAGAAGAGGGAGGCCUCUGCAGAAUUCUCUGCCAUGUGCUUCUAGGCUUCCUCAACUCAGAAAUUUUAUUAUAGAGUUUUAGAAUGUGAAGAGCUCUUGGAAAUCAUGAAAGAUGAAGAAUCAAGAUGGAAGUUUGAUGGCUUGUCCCAGGCCCCAGAGUGGACCCUUUGCUUUUUGGAAUCCAACAGCAAGGACUCAUGGGAAUAUCGUGGGAUUUGACUUGGAGAGACAGGGCUCAAACCUCAUCUUUGUCACUUAGUGAUUGUGUAAUUCUCUAAAAGUCUAUUUGUAGAAAAGGGAUAAGGGAGCUUUCUUUCCUGGAUUUCAAGAUGAUUAAAAGAGAUGUAUGUAUAAAGGGAUGCUCAGUUGUCUGAGCUGAGAUGACUGCAAAGUCACUGCACUCCUCUUACAAUGCCUGACAGGUGCUUCCAUCUUUGGGAGGUGUGGAGCCCUUGACAGGCACGUCAGCAGGGGGCAUUUGGGAGGGCAGCCUGCGAGGGUGAGGGGAUGCCAGUGGGCCAUACUGCAGAGGCAGAAACUUGGGGGAGGGGUCACAGGCGGUCAACUGAAGAAGGGGCUUGUGCCUGCAGAUGCUCCAAGAGGGGAGUCUAAGAGGAAUCCAGAAAAGUGUCCCCAAGAGAAAGAAUCUGACUUUAAUGUUAGCCGGACCCAGA
rnacentral:lncRNA from 10 species